ACCGCUGGCUGUGGUGGCUGCCCCGACCGACCGACCGACCGACCGAGGCAAGAAUAUGGAAAGUAACCCGGUGUUAAACUGUAAUAUUCGAUAGCCAGUAGCACAACAGCCCUGCCACUAUCUAUUGCCGUGAUUUGGAUCGUGUGUGUGUGUUUGCUAGGAGGAGAGCUAGCCGCGGCAAAUGUCCACCCACUCCAUCCCCAAAUAAUGCCCGAGUCCACAACAGCCGCCUCCACUCUUACCCUCGCUCAUAUAUGGGAGUGAACUGGGAAUGCUAAGAGGAGGAUGGGGGGGGGGAGGAGUCAGCAUGGAAAUAGGGCAAAAUGAUGGAGGAGGAGUGCAAGUGUGGGAGUGUGAUAUAAGCGCACGCACACACGCAAAGUCAUCUCUUAUAGGUCAAGGUACAUGCAAAUGUAAGCGGCGAGGGGGGUGAAACGUAACAUUGAAAUAAAAGAACCGUGUCGCAACGAAGAGCGAUGGCCCGCCAUCGACCCCCAUAGCCAAAAACAAAAACAAGCCGGUCGGACGUGCGGGAAAAAUAAACAAAAUGGGAGGAAAUGGCGUCGGACGGCAAGAAGAAGAGGAGGAGGAGGCGAAGGAGAUGGAUGGCUGGUGUGUGAGCUGCCGGCAGACAGCAGACAGGCCAGCCCAAGGAAGCCUCUGGGGAAUAUGGAACUCCCAUUCGCUGUCUGUCUGCCCUGCAGCCAAACACAAAAACGUGUGCGCAUGUGCACCCGCAAACACACACACACACACGGUUCACAGCGAGUACGGCUGAGCAGACAGUCGACGUGGGCCUCGCUCUCCUGCUCGCUAAAUUAUGGAUCAGAGACGGACUCCCGCUCAGCUUAAUGCAGUCUGAUCUGAUGUGACUGUGAUCUGCGCUGACUGGUGUGGACCGUAAAGAGCUGACGGGCUGGCUCCAGAACGGGCCACGCAGAUGUGAGGGACACAAUCGGGGCAUUUUUUUUUUUUUUUUAAUCGGGCGGUGUCAUCAAACUUUACGAAGCAGCCCUUUUUUUUUUUUUUUUGCCACUCCUUUGCAAGUGUUGUGCCUUUUAGUGGCGUUACAGGCUUGUAAUGAAUCCUGUGGCUCGACUGGGUCGGUCGGCUCAGAUUCCUCCUCCGCAUACCGGGGAGAUGCCAGGGGCCACGCAGACGCCAGAGGAGCCUUCCUAAAUCAUGGCCUUGUUACACUGAUGAAUGUCUUUGCCCAGAUAUCUGCCUCCGUGUGCGAGUGUGUUGUGUGUUUAUUGUGCGAUCGUGAAGCACGGGUGCCUUUCCUUCUGCAACGGUUACAUUUGAAAAUGAUAUUGGAGAUGAGUGUGGGGCCUGGAGUUGAAUUGGCGGAAACAAAGGAAGCUACAAAAUCCAACGUCUUGCAUCUGGUCUAAUUUGGAGACUGAAAUUGGGGGCUCAACCAAUAAAAAAUAAAAAAAAUUGAGGCCAAUGUAGAUUAUUCCUCGGACGAUUCAUAUAAAAAUGAUAUAAUGAAUAAAAUAUAGAUUUUUUUCUCUUAAC